rnacentral:rRNA from 1 species
CUUAACACGUGCAAGUCGAACGAACGAACCUAGCUUGCUAGGUGAGUUAGUGGCAAACGGGUGAGUAACGUGUGGGAAUCUACCCAGUAGUACGGGAUAACAGUUGGAAACGAUUGCUAAUACCGUAUGGUAUCGAGGGAUUAAAGAUUUAUCGCUACUGGAUGGGCCCGCGUCAGAUUAGGUAGUUGGUGGGGUAAUGGCCUACCAAGCCCGAGAUCUGUAACUGGUCUGAGAGGAUGAUCAGUCACACUGGAACUGAGACACGGUCCAGACUCC